rnacentral:lncRNA from 1 species
UGAAAACUCCCUCCAUGCUGGUACACUGCUGGGCAGGUCAAUCUGAAAACUCCCUCCAUGCUGGUACACUGCUGGGCAGAUCAAUCUGAAAACUCCCUCCAUGCUGGUACACUGCUGGGCAGAACAAUCUGAAAACUCCCUCCAUGCUGGUACACUGCUGGACAGGUCAAUCUGAAAACUCCCUCCAUACUGGUACACUGCUGGGCAGAUCAAUCUGAAAACUCCCUCCAUGCUGGUACACUGCUGGGCAGAUCAAUCUGAAAACUCCCUCCAUGCUGGUACACUGCUGGGCAGAUCAAUCUGAAAACUCCCUCCAUACUGGUACACUGCUGGGCAGAUCAAUCUGAAAACUCCCUCCAUACUGGUACACUGCUGGGCAGGUCAAUCUGAAAACUCCCUCCAUACUGGUACACUGCUGGACAGAUCAAUCUGAAAACUCCCUCCAUGCUGGUACACUGCUGGACAGAUCAAUCUGAAAACUCCCUCCAUGCUGGUACACUGCUGGACAGGUCAAUCUGAAAACUCCCUCCAUG